CUGGCUCAGGAUGAACGCUGGCGGCGUGCCUAACACAUGCAAGUCGAGCGUGAACCCUUAGAAUGAAACUUCGGUCGAAUGAAGAGGGGGAAAGCGGCGGACGGGUGAGUAACGCGUAGGCAACCUGCCCCGUACAGAGGGAUAGCCUCGGGAAACCGGGAUUAAAACCUCAUAAUACCAUGGUAUCACAUGAUGCAAUGGUCAAAGAUUUAUCGGUAUGGGAUGGGCCUGCGUCUGAUUAGCUGGUUGGUGGGGUAACGGCCUACCAAGGCAACGAUCAGUAGCCGACCUGAGAGGGUAAUCGGCCACAUUGGAACUGAGACACGGUCCAAACUCCUACGGGAGGCAGCAGUGGGGAAUAUUGCACAAUGGGCGAAAGCCUGAUUGCAGCAACGCCGCGUGAGCGAAGAAGGCCUUUGGGUCGUAAAGCUCUGUCGGGAAGGAAGAUAAUGACGGUACUUCCCGAGGAAGCCCCGGCUAACUACGUGCCAGCAGCUGC
rnacentral:rRNA from 1 species